UACGUAGGGUGCAAGCGUUAUCCGGAAUUAUUGGGCGUAAAGAGCUCGUAGGCGGUUUGUCGCGUCUGCUGUGAAAACUGGAGGCUCAACCUCCAGCCUGCAGUGGGUACGGGCAGACUAGAGUGCGGUAGGGGAGAUUGGAAUUCCUGGUGUAGCGGUGGAAUGCGCAGAUAUCAGGAGGAACAUCAGUGGCGAAGGCGAUUACCUGGGGUUGAUCUGACACUGAGGAACGAAAGCUAGGGGAGCAAACGGG
rnacentral:rRNA from 1 species